rnacentral:lncRNA from 1 species
UCCAUCCUGAGAAAAGCUAUAAUGACUGUCUUAGUAUAUCAGUCAAGAAUUACAUGGUAUAGAGAUAACUAAAUCAUUCCCAAGUUGAUGAUAAAAUUCAUUAUGUCUAGAAUUAUUAAAUCAACCCAAGUCUGAUAUCUAUGAACAAAAUAGAGCAAGCCCAAUAAACCUGAUCAACUACCACCAAAAGGUCAACUUAUGUAGACACAUAAACAGAGUAUCAACCAUUUCACAAACCAAA